rnacentral:lncRNA from 10 species
AAUGAAUGGAGGGCGGCGGCGACUGCUGCAGCUGGGCCAGCUGCGCGGGCUGCACCCCCUCCCAGCCUGCGAGAGGAGGAAGCUAGUAGAAGAUUUGUACCAACAAAACCAAGGAGUAAACAACUUGAGAAUAACUGCAUGAGCUCAGGGCUUGGACUGUCAGAUUCCAUUUCUAAGCUUCCAGAAGAGCGACACAUAGACACUGGGGAAGUCAGAGCCUUUGAACUCCAAUGCCAUCCCCGUCACCCACCUCCACCACCAGCACCACCACCGAAUGGCACUUUGGACAAUUUUUCCCUCUCAUGUGACUUUUGUCAUUUCUUACGUCAGUUGGAGCCAGCACCUCUCAAAUCCAUCUUCUAAAACCCAGAAAAUUGUGUGUAACACAUGAUGACUGAAAGGGAGUAGGCUGACCAGUUAAGAGCCUGCCACUGGAAUGGAAGGCUGUGGGAAGGUGAGGGGACGGUGGACAUCAACCGGGAAGAGCUGAAAGAUGGCGUUACCAGAACAACUUCCAGUAAAAGAAGGCACUGAGGUUUAAGUGCUACGUGGGAGCAGUUGCCGAUUUUUGCAAUGGGAGGCUGCAUAGAU